AGAGUUUGAUCAUGGCUCAGAACGUACGCUGGCGGCACGCCUAACACAUGCAAGUCGAACGCAGUAGCAAUACUGAGUGGCAAACGGGUGAGUAUAAUGUGGGAAUCUGCCUUUUGGUCUGGAUACACGGGGAAACUUGUGCUAAUACCGGAUAAGCCUUUACAGGGAAAGUUUUAAUGCCGAAAGAUGAGCCCGCACUUGAUUAGCUAGUUGGUAAGGUAAAAGCUUACCAAGGCAACGAUCAAUAGCUGUUCUUAGAGGAAGACCAGCCACAUUGGGACUGAGACACGGCCCAGACUCCUACGGGAGGCAGCAGUGGGGAAUCUUGCACAAUGGGGGAAACCCUGAUGCAGCGAUGCCGCGUGAGUGAAGAAGGCCUUUGGGUUGUAAAACUCUUUCGUCGGGGAAGAAAAUGACUGUACCCGAAUAAGAAGGUCCGGCUAACUUCGUGCCAGCAGCCGCGGUAAUACGAAGGGACCUAGCGUAGUUCGGAAUUACUGGGCUUAAAGAGCUCGUAGGUGGUUAAAAAAGUUGAUGGUGAAAUCCCAAGGCUCAACCUUGGAACUGCCAUCAAAACUUUUUAGCUAGAGUGUGAUAGAGGUAAGUGGAAUUUCUAGUGUAGAGGUGAAAUUCGUAGAUAUUAGAAAGAACACCAAAUGCGAAGGCAACUUACUGGGUCACUACUGACACUGAGGAGCGAAAGCAUGGGUAGCGAAGAGGAUUAGAUACCCUCGUAGUCCAUGCCGUAAACGAUGUGUGCUAGACGUUGGAAAUAUAUUUUUCAGUGUCGCAGCGAAAGCAUUAAGCACACCGCCUGGGGAGUACGACCGCAAGGUUAAAACUCAAAUGAAUUGACGGGGACCCGCACAA
rnacentral:rRNA from 1 species